AUUGAACGCUAGCGGCAGGCCUAACACAUGCAAGUCGAACGAGUGGCGGACGGGUGAGUAAUGUAUGGGAACCUGCCCGGUAGAGGGGGAUAACUACUCGAAACGGUAGCUAAUACCGCAUACCAUCAGAUCUGCCCAGAUGGGAUUAGCUGGUUGGUGGGGUAACGGCUCACCAAGGCGACGAUCCGUAGCUGGUCUGAGAGGAUGACCAGCAACACUGGAACUGAGACACGGCCCAGACUCCUACGGGAGGCAGCAGUGGGGAAUAUUGGACAAUGGGGGCAACCCUGAUCCAGCCAUGCCGCGUGUAUGAAGAAGGCCUUCGGGUUGUAAAGUACUUUCGGCAGGGAGGCGUUACCUGCAGAAGAAGCACCGGCUAACUCCGUGCCAGCAGCCGCGGUAAUUC
rnacentral:rRNA from 1 species